CAUAUAGAGGAUCAGAAUGCAUUGGCAUAGUGAGGAGACGUCUGGGCAUCAAGUUCUGCAGAGAGAAGAUUUAGCUGGAACAAAUCCUGGCGUGAGGGGCCGGUGCUGGACACUGUGUAGGGACGCGGGAAUGCAAAGUCAUACACAUGACUGUGACUGAUGCACUAUCUCCAGGACAUGGAGUAGCAUUUCCGGACCUACAGCAAGACGUUGGAUGAAGGCAUAGCCCCAGAAAUAACACUGGUCCUGUUCAUCAGUGAGGGGCCGGUGCUGGACACUGUGUAGGGACACGGGAAUGCAAAGUCAUGCACAUGACUGUGACUGAUGCACUAUUUCCAGGACAUGGAGUAGCAUUUCGGGACCUACAGCAAGACGUUGGAUGAAGGCACAGGCCUAGGAAUCAUGCACAUACACAGAAACAUUUGCCCAAAUUAUAGAGGUAUCCUCCUUUAGUAUGCCCAGAGGAAGGGCCAUACAGUAGCCAUGGAUUCCCUACAGGUUUCCUCCCCUCUGGAGGUUUUUCCUGUCCUGAGUAUUAGUUACUGUACGCUCUUUGUGAGUGAUGGGAGGUUACAAAAAAUCCCCUACACAAACAUUUUAAUAAAUAAUAAAUAAAGUUCCCCUUUUUUUA